CGGCGGACGGGUGAGUAACACGUUGGAUAACCUACCUAUAAGACUGGGAUAACUUCGGGAAACCGGAGCUAAUACCGGAUAAUAUAUUGAACCGCAUGGUUCAAUAGUGAAAGACGGUUUUGCUGUCACUUAUAGAUGGAUCCGCGCCGCAUUAACUAGUUGGUAAGGUAACGGCUUACCAAGGCAACGAUGCGUAGCCGACCUGAGAGGGUGAUCGGCCACACUGGAACUGAGACACGGUCCAGACUCCUACGGGAGGCAGCAGUC
rnacentral:rRNA from 1 species